rnacentral:lncRNA from 1 species
GCAGAAUAUGUAUGCUACUAUGUUUAUGAUACUCAAGCAUGUAUUUUAUUAAGCUUUUUCACUUCUUCAAAAGCUAGUUAACUAUUCCAUACAUUCUGUGUACAAUACUCUCUCUGAUAAAGUAACCGUGUGGUUUCUGUCUCCUGACAGGACCCUGGCAGGUACAAAGGGAAUUUUUCUUAAAUUCACCACUCUGGCCCCUUCUUGUCUAGAAAGGUGUCUUGAAUUUGGUUUAUUUUAAAAGUGUGCCUUGGUUUGGUUUAUUUAUUUAUUUUUUAAUUCAAAAAAAUUAUUUUUUAUUUUCCCACUGUACAGCAAGGGGAUCAAGUUGUCCUUACAUGUAUACAUUACAAUUACAUUUUUCCCCCACCCUUUGUUCUGUUGCAACAUGAGUAUCUAGACAAAGUUCUCAAUGCUACUCAGCAGGUUUAUUUUUUUAUGAUUUUUAUUUUGUCCAUUAUUGUUGGUUUACAGUGUUCUGUCAAUUUCUACUGUACAACAAAGUAACCCAGAUACACACACACAUGUAUAUUCUUUUUCUCAUAUUUUCCUCCAUCAUGCUCCAUCACAAGUGACCAGAUAUAGUUCCCAGGCUAGGGGUCGAAUCGGAGCUGUAGCCACUGGCCUACGCCAGAGCCACAUCAACGCAGGAUCCGAGCCACAUCUGCAACCUACACCACAGCUCACGGCAACGCAGGAUCGUUAACCCACUGAGCAGGGGCAGGGACCGAACCCGCAACCUCAUGGUUCUUAGUCGGAUUCGUUAACCACUGCGCCACGACAGGAACUCCUGCUCUGGUUUUUAAAAAAAAAGCCACUGAGCUUGCUGUAACAGAUACAUGCAUGCCGUUAAUACUGGUAAUAUGAAUAUUGUAUAGAUUUGCUUGUCCCUACACUGAGUGGUUCCAGAUGGCUGUGAUGUAUAAGAAUGAGGUCAAUAGUGAGAACAGACACAAAAAAACUUUGAAAUAAAACCCAACUCCUAUUUAUUUGGGUAGUAUAUAUGGAUCUAUGUAUGUAUAUAUACAUACACAUGGUGGAUAUAAAAAUAUAUAUGUGUAUAUCACACACAUUUCCUUCACUUUUUUCUGUUGUUGUUGUUUAAGUGUUCAUGGUCUCCUUUCACCCUAUUUGCUCAUCAAGCCUUUCUCUCUAUUGUAGUCUGUUGUCCUCUAGAGGAAAGGGAAGAAAAGAGUAUGCUGACUGCUAUGGGUCCUGAGAAACUCAAACCAGAAAUGGGGCUUCCUCUUACCUGUAGUGUUAGACCCUGUAUAAGGACAGGGAGUACCAGAAGUGUGUGUGUAUGUGUGUGAAAAAACAGAGAAAGAAAUUUAAUAUUUAAUGGUCAACUACUAAGACUGUUAGAGGCACCAGAGCAACAAGAGAUGGGUAUCAGGAUGGACAGAACCAGUAAAGAUACAAGAACCAGGAGAUUAAAAACAGUGAGCUAAAGACAGUCUGGCUAAAUGUGUGACUCUUCAUGACUUUGACUGAUCAUUUAUGUACAAAGAAUAAGUUUGUGUUAAUGGACGUGAACAAUUUAAAGAACCUAGGGGGACAGAGCAGGGUGCAUUUGCCAAUCUGCCUUUUUCUCGAAGAAGAACUCCAGAUUCUCUUUCCCUACAAUUUUCUAUUUAUAGUCUGCUAUAGAUUAGAGAUCUGGAUGAUGAAAUUGUUAUACUGCUGUUCACAUUAAAGAUAAGACAGUUGUGAAUGAAAUUAUGUUUCCAGAAGUGUCUGGGAUUUAGCCCACGAAUGGUUUGAUGCAUACAGAAGUCAUUAUGGCAUGUUCUUUCAGGAGAGCAAGUACUUUCAGAUAUGUAAGUGUCAUAUAUGAUAAGAGUAAAUUAUUAUAUAUAAUUAUUAAAUAUGUUUCUUAUACAGUCUAAGGGGUGUGAAGAAUUAUGAAGCUUUUAUAAUAAAAGUAAAGUAUAAUUUCACAAUUACUUGGAAAUUUUACAUUCAAGAAGUUGUAAAAUAAUGAUAAUGAGAUAUUUCAUUAGGAAGAAUAUAUAUAACUACAUUAAGAAAAAAGUACAUUUAAAAUAGUAACCUUUAUUAAGAAUUUUAUGGAAUUCCUGUCAUGGCUUAGUGGUAACAAACCCACCUAGUGUACACGUAGUGAACAUGAAGAUGCAGGAUCAAUCCCUGGCCUCGCUCGGUGGGUUAAGGAUCCGGCAUUGCCGUGAGAUGUGGUGUAGGUCACAGACAUGGCUUGGAUCCUGUGUUGCUGUGGCUGCAGCAUAGGCCAGUAGCUGCAGCUCCAAUUCUCCUAACUGGGGAACUUCCAAACGCCAGGAGUGCGGCACUUCAAAAAAAAAUAAAAAAAAAA